GACGAACGCUGGCGGCGUGCCUAAUACAUGCAAGUCGAACGCACAGUUUAUACCGUAGCUUGCUACACCAUAAACUGUGAGUUGCGAACGGGUGAGUAACGCGUAGGUAACCUGCCUGGUAGCGGGGGAUAACUAUUGGAAACGAUAGCUAAUACCGCAUAAUAUUAAUUAUUGCAUGAUAAUUGAUUGAAAGAUGCAAUUGCAUCACUACCAGAUGGACCUGCGUUGUAUUAGCUAGUAGGUGAGGUAACGGCUCACCUAGGCGACGAUACAUAGCCGACCUGAGAGGGUGAUCGGCCACACUGGGACUGAGACACGGCCCAGACUCCUACGGGAGGCAGCAGUAGGGAAUCUUCGGCAAUGGACGAAAGUCUGACCGAGCAACGCCGCGUGAGUGAAGAAGGUUGUCGGAUCGUAAAGCUCUGUUGUAAGAGAAGAACGGGUGUGAGAGUGGAAAGUUCACACUGUGACGGUAUCUUACCAGAAAGGGACGGCUAACUACGUG
rnacentral:rRNA from 1 species